UACGGAGGGAGCUAGCGUUAUUCGGAAUUACUGGGCGUAAAGCGCACGUAGGCGGCUUUGUAAGUUAGAGGUGAAAGCCUGGAGCUCAACUCCAGAACUGCCUUUAAGACUGCAUCGCUUGAAUCCGGGAGAGGUGAGUGGAAUUCCGAGUGUAGAGGUGAAAUUCGUAGAUAUUCGGAAGAACACCAGUGGCGAAGGCGGCUCACUGGACCGGCAUUGACGCUGAAGAGCGAAAGCGUGGGGAGCAAACAGG
rnacentral:rRNA from 1 species